rnacentral:rRNA from 1 species
ACGGUUACCUUGUUACGACUUAGCCCCAGUCAUCAGUCUUGCCCUAGGUCGCUCCUAUACGGUCACGAACUUCAGGCACUCCCGACUCCCAUGGCUUGACGGGCGGUGUGUACAAGGCCCGGGAACGUAUUCACCGCGCCAUGGCUGAUGCGCGAUUACUAGCGAAUCCAGCUUCAUGGAGUCGAGUUGCAGACUCCAAUCCGAACUGAGACAGGGUUUCGGGUUCCGCGCCCAAUCGCUUGGUGGCUUCCCGCUGUCCCUGCCAUUGUAACACGUGUGUCGCCCCGGACGUAAGGGCCGUGCUGAUUUGACGUCAUCCCCGCCUUCCUCACAGCUUGCGCCGGCAGUCUCGACAGAGUCCUCGACUUUACUCGUUAGCAACUGUCGAUAGGGGUUGCGCUCGUUAUGGCACUUAAGCCGACACCUCACGGCACGAGCUGACGACAACCAUGCAGCACCUCGCAUAAUGCCCCGAGGGGAAACAAUCUUUCAACUGUCGUCAUUAUGCGUUUGAGCCCGGGUAAGGUUCCUCGCGU